UACGUAGGGUGCGAGCGUUGUCCGGAAUUACUGGGCGUAAAGAGCUUGUAGGUGGUUUGUCGCGUUGUUCGUGAAAUCUCACGGCUUAACUGUGAGCGUGCGGGCGAUACGGGCAGACUAGAGUACUGCAGGGGAGACUGGAAUUCCUGGUGUAGCGGUGGAAUGCGCAGAUAUAAGGAGGAACACCGGUGGCGAAGGCGGGUCUCUGGGCAGUAACUGACGCUGAGAAGCGAAAGCGUGGGGAGCGAACAGG
rnacentral:rRNA from 1 species